rnacentral:rRNA from 1 species
UGAAUGGAAGGGCCAUCGCUCAACGGAUAAAAGGUACUCCGGGGAUAACAGGCUGAUACCGCCCAAGAGUUCAUAUCGACGGCGGUGUUUGGCACCUCGAUGUCGGCUCAUCACAUCCUGGGGCUGAAGUAGGUCCCAAGGGUAUGGCUGUUCGCCAUUUAAAGUGGUACGCGAGCUGGGUUUAGAACGUCGUGAGACAGUUCGGUCCCUAUCUGCCGUGGGCGCUGGAGAAUUGAGGGGGGCUGCUCCUAGUACGAGAGGACCGGAGUGGACGCAUCACUGGUGUUCGGGUUGUCAUGCCAAUGGCACUGCCCGGUAGCUAAAUGCGGAAGAGAUAAGUGCUGAAAGCAUCUAAGCACGAAACUUGCCCCGAGAUGAGUUCUCCCUGAGACUUAAAGUCUCCUGAAGGAACGUUGAAGACGACGACGUUGAUAGGUCGGGUGUGUAAGCGCAGCGAUGCGUUGAGCUAACCGAUACUAAUGAACCGUGAGGCUUAACCUUACAACGCCGAAGGUGUUU